AUGGAGUUGUCUCAUACAUCAGUCAGAAGAAAGAAAGCCAGCAGAAGAAAUUUCAGUGUAUAAACCCACUUGGAGAUCCCACCAUAGAACAUUUUGACCAUAUGUGAUUCCCUUCACUGGUGUGCACCUGGACAUCCUCUACCAUUUAAAGGAAUCUGCUGAAGUACUCCCAAGGCACGGCACCGAGCCUGGAUCCUCGGAGCCGAGGUGAACCAAGUGUCCCCCUGCAGUGACACGAAGCUUUGGGCACAUUUGGGGUGCAGUCAGGCAUCGCUUUUACAGAGCCCUGG